GACGAACGCUGGCGGCGUGCUUAACACAUGCAAGUCGAGCGGACAGGCGAGGAUCUUGCUGUUUUCAUGUGUGGGGCGCGCGUGUGUAUAACGCGAGUAAAAUCUACCUGUAUGACUGAUAUAUCCUCGGGAAUCCGGAUCUAAUCCCGUAGGAUCUUCUGAUGCAUAUGGGUCAAAAGUGAAAGACGGUCUUUCUGUCACGUAUAGAUGCUUCCGCGCUGCAUUAGCUAGUUGUGAAGGUAACGGGUUACAAAGGCAACGAUGCAUAGCCGACCUGAGAGGGUGAUCGGCCACAUUGGAACGUAGACACGGACAAGACGACUACGGGAGGCAGCAGUAGGGAAUCGUACGCAAUAGGCGAAAGCAUGACGGAGCAACGGCGCGUGAGUGAUGAAGGUCUUCGGAGCGUAAAACUCGGUUAUGAGGGAAGAACAUAUGUGUAAGUAACUGUGCACAUAUUGACGGUACCUAAUCAGAAAGCCACGGCUAACUACGUG
rnacentral:rRNA from 1 species